CACCACCUGUUCCAGUUUAUGAAAAACCUGUUCCACCACCUACACCGGUAUAUGAAAAGCCACUUCCACCACCUGUUCCUGUUUAUGAAAAACCUCUUCCCCCACCUACACCGGUCUAUGAAAAACCACUUCCACCGCCUACUCCAGUUUAUGAAAAACCUCAUCCUCCGCCUACACCUGUCUAUGAAAAGCCACUUCCACCGCCUGUUCCUGUUUAUGAAAAACCUCUUCCCCCACCUACACCGGUCUAUGAAAAACCACUUCCACCGCCUACUCCAGUUUAUGAAAAACCUCAUCCUCCGCCUACACCUGUCUAUGAAAAGCCACUUCCACCGCCUGUUCCUGUGUAUGUAAAGC
rnacentral:lncRNA from 1 species